rnacentral:misc_RNA from 1 species
UCUCCAUGUCUUGGACACUGAAAGUGCCACUGCAGGUCCCGUGACAGUCCCAACUGACAUGGCAGGACAAAUUGUACAAAGAGAUGGGUGGGUAACAGUUGUGCGUGAGAACCAGGUUUUAAAAGUAGAUAUGGAAAAGGUAGAUAUGGAAAAUAUGAGGUCUAGAGUUGGGGAGCUUGAGGAAGAAUUUGGCAAAAUAAAACAAGAGAUGAUGAGGGUGACCAAAUCACAUAGCUCUCUUAGUUCCCCUAGCUUAGUUGCUCGAAAAAUUGGGUGCAAGCUUCUUCCACGAUC